CGCACAUUUUCUGACCCUAAGGGAGAUAGGAGCAACAUAAGUCUAUCCCUUUGAUAUUGACUUUUAUAUCUGUAAAAUGAGUGAAUAAUGACUCAUUCAAGUAGCAGUUAAUCAAUGUGAGAUGUGGAUGCGUCUAUGUGAGCAUGUGUAUGUGUUUUGUUAUGAGUGUUUGUGUUAAUGUAGGAGUGAACAUUGUGUUAAUGUAAGUACUGAUGAUGUAGCUGAAAUUGUGUUUGCCUGCAUGUGACUGUGAACGACUGUACUGUAUGUCUAAGCUCUGUGUGUAUAUUAACGUCUGUCUGGCGUUCUCUCUCAGACUAGAGUUUACGGUGGGCAGCAGGGUAGUGAGCUGUUUCGUCUGAUAGAGAGGCACGACUUCAGAGACCUGAUCCUCAAGACCUUUUGACUUUGAGAUCGGCUACUGCAACCCCUACAGCAGGAACACCUGUGAACACAUCUACAGUCUACCUGACCUGGAGGCAGACAUGGAGGCACAUAUAUAUGCAUGCUCACUAGGGAUGCAACGGUACACAGUAUGUUGUCAAACGGUUCGGUACGCCCCCUAUGGUUCAAUACGCACAUGUGAACCGCGGAAUUACGAUAUGCCUGUCAUUUUCCUAUAAUUACCAAAAUGUGUUUAUUGCGUUGCAGACUACCCGCACGUUGUACAUUCAAAUCCACAUAACUAGACUUGCAGCUUGUGAACAGGCUUGGCAGGCAACUGCUUGGGACACCAAGCCGUUAUGGGGCUCCUGAGGGCUGACAAACUUUAAUCCACAGCAAUGUCUCAAAAUGUGGCAACCCCCCAUAAUUAAACAACCAAUGGACGAUUUGCAAUGACAUCUCAGUAAGAAACCUCCCUAAAUGGGCCCCAUGAAGAAAUGGGAAACUAAAAACGAAUAUUCUCUCAGCUACAAGGUGAUAAUGUUGAGCGCUAGCGAGACCGAGAGAAGUAAAUUUGAAGAAGCACUGUCGUCUUUCAAAUCCGCUGUGUGGGAACAUUUUGGAUUCAGCGUUCAAUACGAUGACGAGGGUGGAGCUGGAGCAAGGGGAGUCCACUCGUUAGCGAAAACACAACAAUCUCUCGCUGCUGCCUUCCAACAACAAAACAUAAAGAAAUAACAAAAGCAGUGUGAGUAUUCACAGCCAAAGAUUGUAUUGCCUAUACAAGUAUGUACCCUGUUUAUUUAAAAUAGAGAAGGCAAAGCACCUACAGGUUGUCAAAGCUAAGAAGCACUUUUAAUUUUGUUUUUCUCCCCUUGACUCCCCUAGCCAGUCACGCUGCCAUUUUCUGAAUGGAAAGUUUUAUUUGUCUAUAGGAAAAAUAAAGAGUUCAUUGUUUAAAGGGUGAUGUGUUCUUUUUUCUUAAAUAUAAAGAUACCGUACCGUUACCGUGGCCCACAAAUCGUGAUACAUACCGAACCGUGAGCCCACUGUACUGUUGCAUCCCUAAUGCACACACACAUACACACUGCUGUGCUCUAGAGUCAGUGGCAUAGGAGGUCGUUUUUUUUAUCCCUAAACAUAGCACACCAAACCAUCAAGUCACCUGCUCGAGAGUUCAGUAAGGUACAGUACAUGGAAAUCAAAUUAUAGGCAUAAAGGUGGUUGAUUCUUAUUCCAAUUAAAAUUUUCCAUUUGUGUUCUAGAAUAAGAUAUUAAAUACAAACACACAUGCAGACUGGAGCUUCAUGAAAUGUGUUUCCAUGGCCGAUUUGCCGCACACAAGCCUAACAUCACCAUGCGCAAUGCCAAGCGUCGGCUGAAGUGGUGUAAACUCACUGCCAUUGGACUAUGUAGCAAUGGAAACAAGUUCUCUGGAGUGAUGAAUCACGCUUCACCAUCUGGCAGUCCGACAGACAAAUCUGGGUUUGGUAUUUUAUUAGGAUCCCCAUCAGCAGCUACUCUUCCUGGGGUUCACAUAAAACAUAAUACAGAAUGACAUAAUACAAAACAUGAAUAGACAAGAACAGCUCAAGGACAGAACUACAUAAAAAAAAUGUAAAGGCACACAGCCUACAUAUCAAUGCAUACACAGAAACUAUUUUGGUCAAAUAGUGGAGAGGCGUUUUGCCAUGAUGUGUUGCUUUAUCUGUUUUUUUUUAAACCAAAUUUGCUGUUUAUUUGAGCAACAUGAGAUGCCAGGAGAACGCUACCUGCCCGAAUGCAUAGUUGCAACUGUAAAGUUUGGUGGAGGAGGAAUAAUGGUCUUGGGCUGUUUUCAUGGUUCGGGCUCGGGCCCUUAGUUCCAGUAAAGGGAAAUCUUAACGCUACAGCGUACAAUGACAUUCUAGACGAUUCUGUGAU
rnacentral:lncRNA from 1 species